rnacentral:rRNA from 1 species
ACGCUCGACACCUACGGGAGGCAGCAGUGGGGAUAUUGCACAAUGGAGGAAACUCUGAUGCAGCGACGCCGCGUGAGGGAAGAAGGUUUUCGGAUUGUAAACCUCUGUCUUCGGUGACGAAAAUGACGGUAGCCGAGGAGGAAGCCACGGCUAACUACGUGCCAACAGCCGCGGUAAUCUGAGCGGGCUGGCAAGGC